GAUCCUGGGAGUGGGUGAUCUUUCGCCAAAUGGUUCUCACGGCCAAAGCCCUGUCCCAAGAACAUUACCCAGCAGCCCCACAGGAAAGGCCUACAAACCAGAUGAAUUUCUGCAGGGACUGGAUGAAACGUGAGGCCACCUGAGAGAAAGGCCUGGGGAGGAGGGACGUGUGUGUGAGGAGCUAACAGGAGGUGCUGUCUUCAGUCUCCGUUGUUUGGUGUCUUCGGGUCUUUACCUCAACGGAACACAGUGUCCGGCAGCCUAGGCCUGUACCUCUUCCCCAGCUUCUCAAAACAGCCCUGAGGACAGUGGCCAUCAUCACUCUCCUCCAUUCUAUCGCUCGUCAUCCCCUUUGUGUGUCCCAAGAAGGAGCAAAGCAGAGGUGUAUUUUGGUUUUUUGUUUUUUAAGAUCAAGAGGGGUUUUUUUUUCCCCCUAACUUAAAGAGAAUCUUUUUCUGCAUCUGGAUAGAUUGCCAACAGGCUACAAGCUCUAUCAGGAAUAUCAAACAAUUACAAGAAUCCCAAACCCAGGCUUCCUAUGCAGAGCAGGACUGACAUGCUUCAAAGCAGAAUCAUCUUCCCCCAUCCAGCUCCCAAUUUUUCCACUAAUUCACUGCCCUUCUGUCCCACAAUCCACAAUGAAAGCUGGUGAGCUAGCCCAAGGUAGGCACCCAGGCUGCUGGUUCUAUACAGUGGGCUCAGGUUCUUUCACUUCAAGGCCAGGGUCACCCUCUUGGCUUCCAGACACUUCUAAAUAUGGUAUCAUGGAAGUCCCAUGGACCCAUUCACACUUAUCUACCCCUACCCUUAGUUCCCUCCCUUCCAUGACUCAGGAGAAGAGAGAUCAAGUAGGACGGAUAACAAAAGAACGACUGCUGAGAUGGCAAGAUGGUGGUAAACACAAUAGAAAGAGAAAACAUCAAAGUACUAAGAACUGGAAGCUGGUCCAGGUAGGUCUCCAGGAACUGACAGAUGGGCUGGUAACCUCAGUGGAACACCCAGAGUUAACCUGCCCCAGAGAGUAGCUAUAGCUGGAGUGCUUCAGUGAAGAGCGGACGAUCGCAAAAUCGUAGACACUAAAGAUGGAAAAGACCUUCGAGGUCAUCUUGUCCACUCCUGUCAACUCAGUCCUGUUCCCCACAGCAAAUUCUCAGGGGCUUUCGACAGCCAACUUGUAAAUGAUUCCAGCACCACUGGCCUGCCACUGUUCCCCUGGAGAGACCACUCCACUGUCUAAUAGACCUUUCUGUUAGGACAGAACAUCCCUAUUCUAACUGCCUGGAAAAUCCCAUGGACGGAGGAGCCUGGUAGGCUGCAGUCUGUGGGGUCGCGAAGAGUCAGACAUGACUGAGU